ACUCCUACGGGAGGCAGCAGUGGGGAAUAUUGGACAAUGGGCGAAAGCCUGAUCCAGCCAUGCCGCGUGUGUGAAGAAGGCCUUUUGGUUGUAAAGCACUUUAAGCGAGGAGGAGGCUACUUGGAUUAAUACUCUAGGAUAGUGGACGUUACUCGCAGAAUAAGCACCGGCUAACUCUGUGCCAGCAGCCGCGGUAAUACAGAGGGUGCGAGCGUUAAUCGGAUUUACUGGGCGUAAAGCGUGCGUAGGCGGCUUUUUAAGUCGGAUGUGAAAUCCCUGAGCUUAACUUAGGAAUUGCAUUCGAUACUGGGAAGCUAGAGUAUGGGAGAGGAUGGUAGAAUUCCAGGUGUAGCGGUGAAAUGCGUAGAGAUCUGGAGGAAUACCGAUGGCGAAGGCAGCCAUCUGGCCUAAUACUGACGCUGAGGUACGAAAGCAUGGGGAGCAAACAGGAUUAGAUACCCUGGUAGCGAGUAG
rnacentral:rRNA from 1 species